rnacentral:rRNA from 1 species
AACGAACGCUGGCGGCAGGCCUAACACAUGCAAGUCGAACGCUCCGCAAGGGGAGUGGCGCACGGGUGAGUAACGCGUGGGAAUAUGCCCUUCGGUUCGGAAUAACACAGGGAAACUUGUGCUAAUACCGGAUACGAUCUACGGAUGAAAGAUUCAUCGCCGAAGGAGUAGCCCGCGUAGGAUUAGCUAGUUGGUGAGGUAAUGGCUCACCAAGGCGACGAUCCUUAGCUGGUCUGAGAGGAUGAUCAGCCACACUGGGACUGAGACACGGCCCAGACUCCUACGGGAGGCAGCAGUGGGGAAUAUUGGACAAUGGGCGAAAGCCUGAUCCAGCCAUGCCGCGUGAGUGAUGAAGGCCUUAGGGUUGUAAAGCUCUUUCGCCAGGGAAGAUAAUGACGGCACCUGGAAAAGAAACCUCGGCUAACUCCGUGCCAGCCGCCGCUGUAACAC